CGCAUACCCGGCGUGGAGACUUGACAUGUCAAGUUUUCAAGCGAAAAUCAAAAUGUUCAAUGAAAUGGGGCGCAGAAGACUAUGAGGGAAGAAUCAUCAUUAAUACCAGAGUCAUAAUACAGAGGGAGACAUUAGCACGGUCAAGAGGCCAUGGUCUGCUGGCGGGGAACGAGCACGUCAUCAUUUCUGCCUGCAAAGGUUAUGUCCAGAUGAGGUGCAAAGACCACAACAAAACAGUGCCAGAUGACACCUCCCUCAACAAGGCAGCGACACCAGGGUUCCCGCUGUCGAUCGCCAUUGGCGCCAAUUGCGACAAAAUAAAAAAUCUGGCGACAAAAUUUCGUAAAUGGCGAUUUUAAAAAAAUCGGCAUUUUUCUGCGUUCAUAUUUUCUUAAAAUGACAAAAGACGCUGUGUUUACCAGCCGCUUUACGGCAGUCGUAAUACUAUAGAUUUCCAUGGUGUAAGCGAUACAGCUGUAAUCAAUGGAGCGUGGUGCUGACUGCCGACUACCGCAAAGUGGAAUGUUAUGGUGAUAAUUGCGAUUAUCUGGGGUGUUGUUGCAAGUUAUCUUAAUUGGUCGGCAGUUUUAUUGCUUCAGAGAUAAGGCAAUAUUGAAAUAUACCGACUUUGCGCUUAAAUGUGAAGUGUUUGUCACAGUGUUCGAAGCAGAUUCAAGACCGUUAAAUUGACAACAAUGACAAUCAAAAAGAAUACCAUAAAGCUUCUGAAGCACCAAAACUGUGGCAACAUAUUCAGGCUGCUAAGAAGGUGUCAAUCAACAAGAGUUACAACUGAUUGAAUGUGCCUUUAUUUAAUUAACAAUGUUAAAUGUGUUGUUAUUAUUAAUACUACUGUUAUUAAAUCAAUUCCUUUAACAUACUGUAAA